UCAGGAUCAGGAUCUGCAGAGC
rnacentral:miRNA from 1 species